UUGCAGUUAAAGCUCGUAGUUGGAUUUUGGUUAAGAGGGCGCGGUCGGCCGUUUGGUCUGUACUGCGUUGUCUUGACUUCCUGAUGAGGACAUGCUCUUGGUUAACGCUGAGACAUGGAGUCAUCGUGGUUACUUUGAAAAAAUUAGAGUGUUCAAAGCGGGCUUACGCUUGAAUAUAUUAGCAUGGAAUAACACUAUAGGACUCCUGUCCUAUCUCGUUGGUCUCGGGAUGGGAGUAAUGAUUAAGAGGAACAGUUGGGGGCAUUCGUAUUUCAUUGUCAGAGGUGAAAUUCUUGGAUUUAUGAAAGACGAACUUCUGCGAAAGCAUUUGCCAAGGAUGUUUUCAUUAAUCAAGAACGAAAGUUGGGGGCUCGAAGAUGAUUAGAUACCAUCCUAGUCUCAACCAUAAACGAUGCCGACUAGGGAUUGGUGGAUGUUAAUUGAUGACUUCACCAGCACCUUAUGAGAAAUCAAAGUUUUUGGGUUCCGGGGGGAGUAUGGUCGCAAGGCUGAAACUUAAAGGAAUUGACGGAAGGGCACCACCAGGCGUGGAGCCUGCGGCUUAAUUUGACUCAACACGGGGAAACUUACCAGGUCCAGACAUAAGUAUGAUUGACAGAUUGAGAGCUCUUUCUUGAUUCUAUGGGUGGGGGUGCCAUGGCCGUUCUUAGUUGGUGGGAGUGGUUUGGUCUGGUUAAUUCCGUUAACGAACGAGACC
rnacentral:rRNA from 1 species